rnacentral:rRNA from 1 species
AACGAACGCUGGCGGCAUGCCUAACACAUGCAAGUCGAACGAAACCUUCGGGUCUAGUGGCGCACGGGUGCGUAACGCGUGGGAACCUGCCCUUAGGUUCGGAAUAACUCCCCGAAAGGGGUGCUAAUACCGGAUAAUGUCUUCGGACCAAAGAGUUAUGGCCUUUGGAUGGGCCCGCGUUGGAUUAGCUAGUUGGUAGGGUAAAAGCCUACCAAGGCGACGAUCCAUGGCUGGUCGGAGAGGAUGACCAGCCACACUGGGACUGAGACACGGCCCAGACUCCGACGGGAGGCAGCAGUGGGGAAUAUUGGACAAUGGGCGAAAGCCUGAUCCAGCCAUGCCGCGUGAGUGAUGAAGGCCUUAGGGUUGUAAAGCUCUUUUACCCGGGAUGAUAAUGACAGUACCGGGAGAAUAAGCUCCGGCUAACUCCGUG